rfam:Salmo salar isolate Sally breed double haploid chromosome ssa14, whole genome shotgun sequence.
CUAUGAAAUGUAUGUAAGUCGCUCUGGAUAAGAGCAUCUGCUAAAUGACAAAAA